rnacentral:tRNA from 1 species
GGUCGGGUAGCUCCAUUGGUUAGAGCGUUGUCCUGAUAAGCCAAGGUUGCAGGUUCAAUUCCCUGAUCA